UCCCCAGAUAGCUCAGGUCUAAGCGCACAUUAUUAAGCGAAUGGCGCUCAGACCACACGAAUACAAUUCAAUCGCCAUGGAGCCAAAGUCUUUACAAAGUCAGUUCUCAUACGAAUGAGCUCCAUGGGAUUCCUAUCUGGGGUAUAAUACAGUCAGGUAAAACUACCGAACACCAGGCCGUUCGGGCACUCCCGCCGAACAAGAAGGGAGGUCGGCGGCUUCAGCGGUGUUCGUGCCAAACUGUGUCCGUUUUUAGUUCCAUGGGUUAGGCGUCGAACACCGCUGAGAAUCUACCGAACACCGG